UUCAUGAUGAUAUGAUACCAAACAAACACAGACCUGUUCCGAACGCAAAAAAAAAAGCUUGUGGACAAAACGUUUUGCAUC
rnacentral:snoRNA from 1 species